rnacentral:rRNA from 1 species
GAUGAACGCUAGCUACAGGCUUAACACAUGCAAGUCGAGGGGAAACGAUAUUGGAAGCUUGCUUCUGAUAGGCGUCGACCGGCGCACGGGUGAGUAACGCGUAUCCAACCUGCCCAUCACUUGGGGAUAACCUUGCGAAAGUAAGACUAAUACCCAAUGACGUCUCUAGAAGACAUCUGAAAGAGAUUAAAGAUUUAUCGGUGAUGGAUGGGGAUGCGUCUGAUUAGCUUGUUGGCGGGGUAACGGCCCACCAAGGCGACGAUCAGUAGGGGUUCUGAGAGGAAGGUCCCCCACAUUGGAACUGAGACACGGUCCAAACUCCUACGGGAGGCAGCAGUGAGGAAUAUUGGUCAAUGGACGAGAGUCUGAACCAGCCAAGUAGCGUGCAGGAUGACGGCCCUAUGGGUUGUAAACUGCUUUAUAAGGGAAUAAAGUGAGUCUCGUGAGACUUUUUUGCAUGUACCUUAUGAAUAAGGACCGG